rnacentral:rRNA from 1 species
AUUGAACGCUGGCGGCAGGCCUAACACAUGCAAGUCGAGCGAGCGGCGGACGGGUGAGUAAUGUAUGGGGACUGCCCGAUAGAGGGGGAUAACUACUGGAAACGGUAGCUAAUACCGCAUACUAUCGGAUAACCCAUAUGGGAUUAGCUAGUAGGUGAGGUAAUGGAUCACCUAGGCGACGAUCCCUAGCUGGUCUGAGAGGAUGAUCAGGCACACUGGGACCAAGAGAAGGCCCAGAGUCAUACGGAGGCAUGAGUGGAGAAUAUUGCACAAAGGGCGCAAGCCGGAGGCAGCCAUGCCGCGUGUAUGAAGAAGGCCCUAGGGUUGUAAAGUACUGUCAGUCGGGACGCGGUACCGACAGAAGAAGCACCGGCUAACUACGUGCCAGCAGCCGCGGUAAUUC